UCACGCUGUAAACGAUGUCGAUUUGGAGGUUGUUCCCUUGAGGAGUGGCUUCCGGAGCUAACGCGUUAAAUCGACCGCCUGGGGAGUACGGCCGCAAGGUUAAAACUCAAAUGAAUUGACGGGGGCCCGCACAAGCGGUGGAGCAUGUGGUUUAAUUCGAUGCAACGCGAAGAACCUUACCUACUCUUGACAUCCAGAGAAUUUAGCAGAGAUGCUUUAGUGCCUUCGGGAACUCUGAGACAGGUGCUGCAUGGCUGUCGUCAGCUCGUGUUGUGAGAUGUUGGGUUAAGUCCCGCAACGAGCGCAACCCUUAUCCUUUGUUGCCAGCACAUUAUGGUGGGAACUCAAAGGAGACUGCCGGUGAUAAACCGGAGGAAGGUGGGGAUGACGUCAAGUCAUCAUGGCCCUUACGAGUAGGGCUACACACGUGCUACAAUGGCGUAUACAAAGAGAAGCGACCUCGCGAGAGCAAGCGGAACUCAUAAAGUACGUCGUAGUCCGGAUUGGAGUCUGCAACUCGACUCCAUGAAGUCGGAAUCGCUAGUAAUCGUAGAUCAGAAUGCUACGGUGAAUACGUUCCCGGGCCUUGUACACACCGCCCGUCACACCAUGGGAGUGGGUUGCAAAAGAAGUAGGUAGCUUAACCUUCGGGAGGGCGCUUACCACUUUGUGAUUCAUGACUGGGGUGAAGUCGUAACAAGGUAACCA
rnacentral:rRNA from 1 species